CAGUAGCCGCGGGAACACGAAGGGGGCUAGCGUUGUUCGGAUUUACUGGGCGUAAAGGGCGCGUAGGCGGACUGAUAAGUCAGGGGUGAAAUCCCAAGGCUCAACCUUGGAACUGCCUUUGAUACUGUUUGUCUUGAGUUCGAGAGAGGUAAGUGGAACUGCGAGUGUAGAGGUGAAAUUCGUAGAUAUUCGCAAGAACACCAGUGGCGAAGGCGGCUUACUGGCUCGAAACUGACGCUGAGGCGCGAAAGCGUGGGGAGCAAACAGGAUUAGAUACCCGUGUAGUCCCUGUCUCUUAUAA
rnacentral:rRNA from 1 species